rnacentral:rRNA from 1 species
GAUGAACGCUGGCGGCGUGCCUAAUACAUGCAAGUCGAGCGAACAGACGAGGAGCUUGCUCCUCUGACGUUAGCGGCGGACGGGUGAGUAACACGUGGAUAACCUACCUAUAAGACUGGGAUAACUUCGGGAAACCGGAGCUAAUACCGGAUAACAUGUUGACCCGCAUGGUUCAACAGUGAAAGACGGUCUUGCUGUCACUUAUAGAUGGAUCCGCGCCGCAUUAGCUAGUUGGUAAGGUAACGGCUUACCAAGGCAACGAUGCGUAGCCGACCUGAGAGGGUGAUCGGCCACACUGGAACUGAGACACGGUCCAGACUCCUACGGGAGGCAGCAGUAGGGAAUCUUCCGCAAUGGGCGAAAGCCUGACGGAGCAACGCCGCGUGAGUGAAGAAGGUCUUCGGAUCGUAAAACUCUGUUAUUAGGGAAGAACAAAUGUGUAAGUAACUAUGCACGUCUUGACGGUACCUAAUCAGAAAGCCACGGCUAACUACGUG